AGUAGCUAAUUUCACAAGCUAAAUUGUGGUGACAUUUAAAUGAACGCGUGGAUGUUUUUUAUAGAACAAAACAUUGGAGACCUGCUAAGAAGUUCCACAUGGAUAAUUAUCUGAGUGUCAGUGGUUAAUCUCUAAUAUUUGAUAGUAGAAUUUGUCAUUUGACUUGAGGUCAUCAUAGUGCCUUGUAUGAGGACAGUCAUGUUUUGACGGUAUUGGAUGCUGCUUGCUUGGGGCCGCUAAUACGACAUUGUUUGAGUAUGUCAAGAAUCAUAUGAAGGCUUUGAAUGACCGAUAGAAGAUUCGUCACUCUUAAAUAGAAAGAGAUUAUGAUCUGCAUUUCAUUCGAUUAAGUUGAUAACGAAAUCCUUGGCCAAGGUAUGCUCAGAAGUUGAAAAUGAGUUUUCGACUUAUAUUGACUUAAUAAUGGAAUGAAAGAUAUGAUUGAUGAUCGAGAUUGACACACUUCCAUUUUUUGUAAUUGAUCGAAUCAUAUUGACGAAAGAAAUAUAGUUUCACAGUAAACAAACAAGUUUUCUUUAAUCAUGCCACGUGACAUUUCCCAUCAUAUGUAUUGCCCUGACCCAUUGCUAGAUGUCAAUUUGGGACGACGAGUGUGAAUUGGUGAUAAAUUAAAAUGGUAUCAAAAUAAUAUUUCACGUUGUUAAGUAUAGUGAUCGGGAACCUAAUGGGUGCCACACAAAAAGAGAAUUGGAAGAUUGUAAUUUGUCAAUUAGUUAAUUUAAUAAGCGUUGGAUAAAUUAAUUAAUUUGGUUACCUAUAUAUAUGCCCGAAUUAAUUAAUUGGAUUCAUUAAUUCACGGACCGAAUUUAAUUAAAUGGGCUCAUUAAAUAUUGGACUGGGUCAGGCCAAGCUCGCUUUGACUUAUAUAAAUACGUGACUAGGGUUUUCCAUUUGUAGAGAUUCUCACUAUUCUUACUAGCAGAAGAGGAGAAAACUCUGGUAACUACAAUAUGUUCUCUGUGUGGAAUUCUAUUGGAGGCUGGAUAAUUGGACAAUUGUGAGUG
rnacentral:lncRNA from 1 species